rnacentral:rRNA from 1 species
AUUGAACGCUGGCGGCAGGCCUAACACAUGCAAGUCGAACGAGUGGCGGACGGGUGAGUAAUGUCUGGGAAACUGCCUGAGGGAGGGGGAUAACUACUGGAAACGGUAGCUAAUACCGCAUACCAUCAGAUGUGCCCAGGUGGGAUUAGCUAGUAGGUGGGGUACCGGCUCACCUAGGCGACGAUCCCUAGCUGGUCUGAGAGGAUGACCAGCCACACUGGAACUGAGACACGGUCCAGAUUCCUACGGGAGGCAGCAGUGGGGAAUAUUGCACAAUGGGGGCAAGCCUGAUGCAGCCAUGCCGCGUGGAUGAAGAAGGCCUUCGGGUUGUAAAGUACUUUCAGCGGGGAGGCGUUACCCGCAGAAGAAGCACCGGCUAACUCCGUGCCAGCAGCCGCGGUAAUUC